AGAAAAAAAAGAGGAGAGAGAGAGAACACCACGACACUCAUACAUAACCAAGCCUUUGACAACACGCAAGUAUGGUGCAUACAUAAGCUGCCACAACCACAUCGAUAUCGAUAUCGAGAUUCAGAAGUACCAUUCCCUUAUGUAAUAUGUAUCACUACCAACUCCACUACUUGCCAUGCUAUGAAAAU